UCCUAUAUAUUAACCAUGAAAAAGAAGGUGAAAUGUUAAACUAUCUUGUAGUAGCCCCAUUCUUGAUCUUUCUAUCAACAACCUAGCCAUGCAUCAUCUUUGUCUUCAUCAGCCUUCAUGCUACUUAGCCCACCAAAACGCCAUAUAUUUAGGUACGGAGGGAGUAGAUGACAAGCUUCUCUAUGAACUUCUCUCGACGCCUUCUUUGACAUUGCUAUAGGAUGAACCACCACCACCCUGCACAUCACGAGUACUAGAACUGACUGGCAAAGCGCCACUACAAUAGAUUAAAUAAACAGAAUGAAAAUUCGACAUGUGGAGAUGGAAGCCGCAUGCAAAACUUAAAUAUUCUAGGAUUAAUCAUUUAUUGAAGGAAUGCUCAAUCAGUUCAGUGUACUGUAAAUGACCAAUACAAAUUCUUGUUGUUCCUUAUUCCUAGCAGAGGCUCGAUUUAAUUGUAACAAGAAUGUAUAACUGGGAAGUAGGCAUGCCAGUCUGUUAGGGACUCUUAAAGUUUGUCCCCUCAAUAUUUUUCUUUUCUUUUGCCAUAUGUCACAAACCAAACAUACAUUAGGACCAUAUAUAUCAAACAUAUAGACAUGCAUGUUGUCAUCAACAUGGUUCCCUCUUAGUACGAAAAAGGAAGUCUCAUCCUAAGAUCAAAGAUUAGCCACGUUAAGGCAUCUAGAUUAUAGCAUACAGAAAAAUAGUAAAUUGUAUACUGCAAGUGGGUAAUUGAAACUUUAAGAUAGCCACACACAUAUACUGUUAUUUUGUUGUCCAGCCAAUUAAAUAAAGAGUAACUUGAAGUAACCUCACAAAAAGAAAACUUGAACUAAGAUAAUGGAAACUUAUUGUGCCAUAUAACUUACAUUCAGGUGUGAAUUUCGUUCCAGAAAGCUUCUACAGACCAACAAAAAUCCCUUCGACAACAUCCUAUAUGGGUAAUUGGGAAUAUAGUUCGUGGAGAUAAUUUUAAAAAACUUGGUUUAUGUGUAUUUUGUCACCAGUUCCUCAAGGCAAGUCUAAAGCAACCCACAUUCAGGUAUCAUGUGAUAAGUUCAACAGAAGUUUCAGACAAUGAACAACUCACGUUAGAAUUUCUAUCUAAAGUGUUUUCUAUAUUAUAAGCAC
rnacentral:lncRNA from 1 species